rnacentral:rRNA from 1 species
CAGCCGCCGCGGGAAUACGAAGGGUGCAAGCGUUACUCGGAAUUACUGGGCGUAAAGCGUGCGUAGGUGGUGGUUUAAGUCCGUUGUGAAAGCCCUGGGCUCAACCUGGGAAUUGCAGUGGAUACUGGGUCACUAGAGUGUGGUAGAGGAUAGCGGAAUUUCCGGUGUAGCAGUGAAAUGCGUAGAGAUCGGAAGGAACAUCUGUGGCGAAGGCGACUAUCUGGGCCAACACUGACACUGAGGCACGAAAGCGUGGGGAGCAAACAGGAUUAGAUACCCGUGUAGUCCCUGUCUCUUAUAC